AGCGAUGUGGCGCAGGGGAAGCGUGUCUGGCUCAUAACCAGAAGGUCGUUGGAUCGAAACCAACCGUCGCUA
rnacentral:tRNA from 1 species